rnacentral:rRNA from 1 species
CCUACGGGCGGCAGCAGUGAGGAAUAUUGGUCAAUGGACGAGAGCCUGAACCAGCCAAGUAGCGUGAAGGAUGACGGACCUAUGGUUUGUAAACUUCUUUUAUAUGGGAAUAAAAUGUUGCACGUGUUGGAUUUUGUAUGUACCAUAUGAAUAAGGAUCGGCUAACUCCGUGCCAGCAGCCGCGGUAAUACGGAGGAUUCGAGCGUUAUCCGGAUUUAUUGGGUUUAAAGGGAGCGUAGGUGGUUAGUUAAGUCAGUUGUGAAAGUUUGCGGCUCAACCGUAAAAUUGCAGUUGAAACUGGUAGUCUUGAGUAUAGUAGAGGUGGGCGGAAGUCGUGGUGUAGCGGUGAAAUGCUUAGAGAUCACGCAGAACUCCGAUUGCGAAGGCAGCUCACUAAACUGCAACUGACACUGAAGCUCGAAAGCGUGGGUAUCAAACAGGAUUAGAUACCCGAGUAGUC